rnacentral:rRNA from 1 species
UGGGGAAUAUUGGACAAUGGGCGAAAGCCUGAUCCAGCCAUGCCGCGUGAGUGAUGAAGGCCUUAGGGUUGUAAAGCUCUUUUGGCGGGGACGAUAAUGACGGUACCCGCAGAAUAAGUCCCGGCUAACUUCGUG